CGAACGCUGGCGGCAGACCUAAUACAUGCAAGUCGAACGGCUCUUCGGAGCAGUGGCGGACGGGUGAGUAACGCGUGGGAAUGUGCCCUUUGGUACGGAACAACACAGGGAAACUUGUGCUAAUACCGUAUGUGCCCUUCGGGGGAAAGAUUUAUCGUCAUUGGAGCAGCCCGCGUUGGAUUAGGUAGUUGGUGAGGUAAAGGCUCACCAAGCCUACGAUCCAUAGCUGGUCUGAGAGGAUGACCAGCCACGCUGGGACUGAGACACGGCCCAGACUCCUACGGGAGGCAGCAGUAGGGAAUCUUGCGCAAUGGGCGAAAGCCUGACGCAGCCAUGCCGCGUGUAUGAUGAAGGUCUUAGGAUUGUAAAAUACUUUCACCGGGGAAGAUAAUGACGGUACCCGGAGAAGAAGCCCCGGCUAACUUCGUGCCAGCAGCCGCCGUAACAC
rnacentral:rRNA from 1 species